rnacentral:rRNA from 1 species
GACAGAGGUGCCAAGCGUUAGGCGGAAUCACUGGGCUUAAAGCGUGUGUAGGCGGACUGGUAAGUACCUUGUGAAAUCCCACGGCUCACCCGUGGAACUGCUUGGCAUACUGCGAGCCUUGAGCCACUUAGGGGCAACCGGAACAAACGGUGGAGCGGUGAAAUGCGUAGAUAUCGUUUGGAACGCCAAUGGUGAAAACAGCUCGCUGGGGAUGUACUGACGCUGAGACACGAAAGCCAGGGGAGCAAACGGG